UUAAAAAGCUCGUAGUUGGACUUCUGCCUGAUGCCAUUCGUCCGCCCCAGUGGUGAGUACAGAGUGUGUAUCAGGCCCUUUCAAGGGGAACGUGUUGCGCUUAAUUGCGUGGCGCGCUAACCUUGACUUUUACUUUGAGGAAAUCAGAGUGUUCCACGCAGGCCAUCGCCUUGUAUAGCUCAGCAUGGAAUAAUAGUAUAGGACCUCGUCUCUCAGCUGUUGGUUGCAAGAAGCGAGGUAAUGAUGAAGAGGGAUAGUUGGGGGCAUUCGUACUGCAUUGUCAGAGGUGAAAUUCUUGGAUUUAUGCAAGACGGACUACUGCGAAAGCAUCUGCCAUGGAUGUUUUCAUUGAUCAAGAACGAAAGUUAGGGGAUCGAAGACGAUCAGAUACCGUCGUAGUCUUAACUAUAAACCAUGCCGGCUAGAGAUCGGAGGACGUUUUCCUUUGACUCCUUCAGCAUCUUAUGAGAAAUCAAAGCCUUUGGGUUCCGGGGGGAGUAUGGUCGCAAGGCUGAAACUUAAAGGAAUUGACGGAAGGGCACCACCAGGAGUGGAGCCUGCGGCU
rnacentral:rRNA from 1 species